AUAUGAUACCCUCUUCUCUAUGCAUGGCAGGCAUGACUAGUCAAUCAGGAGCCUCUUUCCUAGAUGCUGCCUCUUGUCCUCCAGAUAAAUUGAUGAGGCUCUUCUGUUCCACUUACCCUUUCUCCUAUCCUUUGCCUGUGACAGGCAACACUAAUUGAUCCUAGCACCGUUUCCUGCCACGCCCAGAAUUCUCACCACAGUGCUUCAGGUAUCUUGUACCAGUCGAUUGACAUGGCUCCCGAGAUGAAUCAUAUUUGCUGUCCAUCCCUGCUGUGGGUAACACCUCCUUCCUUUGUGCAGAACCCUCAGCUGGGGCCCAGUGUGGGGCGUGAGAUGGGCGUGAGAUGGGCGUGAGGCCCAGUCCAGCCCAGCCCAGCGGGAAGCAGCCUGCUACUCAUAGCUGAGAACUGAACCCAGCUCAAGGAGCUCACCUCUAGGCAGCUGGCCUCAGCCCGGCUCUUACACUUGGACAGCACAGCCUGGGCCUCCAGUCCUAGCAGGGGCUCCCUUUGGCUGGACAUUCUCCCACUGCCAGCCACCAAGGCGCUGGUCAUCCCUGCCACUGCCCUCUGGCGGGGAUCUUCUGGCAAUCCCAGGGUCUUUCUUGUAGCUGAGCCGAUCCUAUGCCAGGGCCUCGCUGCUCCCAGGGCCUGGGUGUGCAGAUAGGGCCAUGGGUGGGGGCAGUGAUGGGAGGAAUUAGUUGGCCUCGGGCUUGUGGUUUUCAGGUUCCUCAUGUGUUCCCCCCAGUCCCCUUGAAUUUGCCAGGCCAAGACCAGGAACCUGCUUCUCCCUUGUACCCCAAGAGGUUUAGGGGUUCCUCUUUUCCUACCAGAGGCCACAUAGCCCAGCCCUGUCAUGAGCGUGGCCGUGGCCUCUGGGUCUCCCAUCUGUGGUUCCCAUCUCUACCCGGGAGACUCAGGCCAGGACCCUCACCCAGGAAAGAGACUGGAGCAGCCUGCCAGAGGAUCCCUGCUUUGCCGCCCCCUGCCUGCCCUGCCAUCCAUACCGCCCCAUGUGCCUGCCUGCCUGUCACUGUGCACCCUAGCCCGCAACGGCCUGCCGCCUCUUCUGUCUCUCCCACCCCUACUUCCUUCUAAGCCCAGUCCCAUUGGGAUGUGUCCCUUGGAUGCAAACCUGACUUUCUGCUGAGGCCUGGCUGCUCCCUUUCUCUGGCUCGCAAGUGGUGGAUGGCUAACAGGGCCUUUGUUUGCCACCCACAGCUUGCAGCUCCCUAGGGUGGGAUUUUGUCUCUGAACCCGUGUGGAGAAGGGCACCUCAGGGCUUCUGCCAGACGUCCUGCCCCAAGGCUUGGUGUGCCAUCCCUAGCAUGGCCCCGAUCAGUGCUCUGGCCCUGUGGCCAUGCACCCCAAAGUGUAGCGUGGGCCCUGUGCUCCAGCUCUGACCAACACUAACCCCGGCUGGAGGCAGGACAGCCAGGCCACCGAGGGGUGUGCAGGCACAUCCCUCUCCUUGGAAACCGGGCCAGGCCUAGGAGUAUGGAGGCCUCACAUUUCUCUGGGGGAGCACCGACAGCCUGUCUCCCUGUUUUCCCUCACCUGGUUGUCAUUCAGUCAUGGAACCAGGGUCUACUAAGCACUCGUUCUGUGCCCAGCUCUGGGCUGAGACAAGGCAGUGCCCCCACCCCGCUCCCCCUGGGUGAAUGGAGGCAUUCCCAGAAUGCCAGGCCUUUGGUGCUAACACCAGGACGUCCUGGACGGACCAGGAAGAGCUCGUCACUGCGUUCCCAGAGGGGAUGCUGUGACCUCACAGGGGCUGCUGGCCUCAGCCCCCUCACCCACCACCAGGCAGCCCGUGAAUGGCCAGAUGCCAGGGGUCACUGCCUGCUCCAAACAACUGUGAGAGUCCUGUCUGCUCAUCCCAGGGAGGGAUAAGUCUGUACCCUUGGCCUUAACAAGGGGCGCCCGGUGGCAUCUCAUGCUGUCCCCAGCCUGGGCAGUGACUUCUGCAUGGUCCCGGGGUCCCUGGGUACUCUUUAGCCACCUCCGUCUUCAUGGCCACCUGGGGCUUAGCACUCACAUCCAGCCACCAAGGAGCCGCUGGAGCUGUGGGCUGGUGGCCCUGGUUCAGAAUGUCAGGCCCGGGGUGGGUCGGGGUAGUCCGGAUGAAGCCCCUCCAGAGGACCGCCCCUGACUAGGACAGCAUCUGGGCCCCAGAGGGAUUCCUGGAGGCCCCAUCUCUGGCGCUCCUGCUGUGCCGUGCCCUGCCAUGCCCUGCACUGGGGGAUGCAGGCCAGCCCUUCACAGCUGUCCGUGGACAUGCUCAGCCCACCCUUUGUAGCUUGGCCAAGUCUGUCAGUGCCUGGGUCCCAGGCCGCCCUGUGCGUGCCUCCGUGUGCUUCCUGCAGCUCCCAGGGCCCUCGUCCUGAGUGGGGUGGGGGGCUCUGCCCACACAUGCCUCCAGCGGCCAGGGAGCAUGGGAGCACAACCCCCAGGCUGCCUGCCGUUAGCUGUCAGGUGAGUCCCUGCGCAGGCCUGGGUUCUGACCCCCACGCAGAUGACAGCUACAGCCACACAAUCCCCAUCCAUGGGGUCUCCCAGCCUGAAACCCUGAUGUGUCAGUCAAAAGGAUGACCACCAGGCUUGCAGCCAGCUUGGGACAUGAGCCGCGCUCCUUCAGUGUCCUUGGGGAGGGCCCCUGGGCUCACACCUUUGACUCUAGCCCUCUGUGUGGAUGCUACCCUUGGAACCUUAUCUCACGCAAACAAGUGCAGUUCCUCAGAUGUCACAUUUCAUGUGCCACAGCCCCACACACAAGCCCCAGGGACUCCUCCCAUGGGCCCCUUUCCAUCAGGCCUCUGUGACUCUAUACCCCAUCAGCCCCUGGCCCAGUGAGUCUGUCUGUCCGCCCACCUGCCCAGGUGGCACCUCAUGUUGGUUUCCUGCUGGAAAUGCUUGGGACAGGGUGGAACUGGGUUUCCUGGGCUUUGGGGCUGGAGGUGUCUCUAUCGCGGUCCCCGGCUUCCCACUGAGCUGUGGGCAAGGCUGCUGCGCUGGGGGAUGGCUGGGGCACGGAGCGAGGUUCCCUGCUAAGCUGCGCGCUUUCCCCCAGGUGAUCCGCAGGGGCUGGCUGACCAUCAACAACAUCAGCCUGAUGAAAGGCGGCUCCAAGGAGUACUGGUUUGUGCUGACUGCCGAGUCGCUGUCCUGGUACAAGGAUGAGGAGGAGAAAGAGAAGAAGUACAUGCUGCCUCUGGACAACCUCAAGAUCCGUGAUGUGGAGAAGGGCUUCAUGUCCAACAAGCACGUCUUCGCCAUCUUCAACACGGAGCAGAGAAACGUCUACAAGGACCUGCGGCAGAUCGAGCUGGCCUGUGACUCCCAGGAGGACGUGGACAGCUGGAAGGCCUCGUUCCUCCGAGCUGGCGUCUACCCCGAGAAGGACCAGGUGAGGAGCCGUCCUGCGCAGCCAGGCCCAGCAGCCCCCACCUGGGAGAGGAAGCGGGGCUGGCUUUCCCCAGGACAGGUCAUUUUCAGGCCAUGUUAGCCAGGAGUCUCUGAAAUCAUGUAGCAGAUGCCCACUUGAGCAAGCAAAGGAGAAAUUGGGGGUACUUUGUCAUCAGGGCCCAGAAAGUUCCCUCACGGAAGCCAGUGACCGGGGCACACAGGGGAUGGGGUCCCACUUGCUUUGUUCUCCUCUCUUUUCCCCUUCCAUCCUGAGGUAGAGUGAACAUGGCCACCCUUGGCCCCAAUAUUAAAAUGUCUUGCCGGGCACGGUGGGUGGUUCGCCCCUGUAAUCCCAGCACUUUGGGAGGCUGAGGCGGGCAGAUCAUUUGAGCUCAGGGGUUCGAAACCAGCCUGGCCAACAUGGUGAAACCCCGUCUCUACUAAAACUACAAAAAUUAGCCAGGCAUGGUGGUACGUGCCUGUAAUCCCAGUUACUCAGGAGGCUUAGGCAGGAGAUCGCUUAAACCCGGGAGGUAGAGGUUGCAGUGAGCUGAGAUCACGCCAUUGCACUCCAGCCUGGGCGACAGAGCAAGACUCCAUCUCAAAAAUAAAAUAAAAUGUCCCAAGGUUGAGUGUGGUGGCUUACACCUGCAAUCCCAACACUUUGGGAGGCGAUGUGGGCAGAUCCUUUGGGCCCAGGAGUUCGAAAACAGCCUGGGCAAUGUUGCAAAACCCUUCUCUCCAAAAAAUACAAACAUACCCAGGCAUGGUGGCACACCCCUGUAAUCCCAUCUACUCCAGGGCGCUGAGGUGGGAGGAUCACUUGAGCUCUCCCUGGGAGGUUGAGGCUGUGGUGAACUGUGUUUGUGCCACUGCACUGCAGCCUGGGUGACAUAGCAAGACUGUGUC
rnacentral:sRNA from 1 species